GAGUUUGAUCAUGGCUCAGAUUGAACGCUGGCGGCAGGCCUAACACAUGCAAGUCGAACGGUAACAGGAAACAGCUUGCUGUUUCGCUGACGAGUGGCGGACGGGUGCGUAAUGUCUGGGAAGCUGCCUGAUGGAGGGGGAUAACUACUGGAAACGGUAGCUAAUACCGCAUAACGUCGCAAGACCAAAGAGGGGGGACCUUCGGGCCUCUUGCCAUCGGAUGUGCCCAGAUGGGAUUAGCUAGUAGGUGGGGUAACGGCUCACCUAGGCGACGAUCCCUAGCUGGUCUGAGAGGAUGACCAGCCACACUGGAACUGAGACACGGUCCAGACUCCUACGGGAGGCAGCAGUGGGGAAUAUUGCACAAUGGGCGCAAGCCUGAUGCAGCCAUGCCGCGUGUAUGAAGAAGGCCUUCGGGUUGUAAAGUACUUUCAGCGGGGAGGAAGGGAGUAAAGUUAAUACCUUUGCUCAUUGACGUUACCCGCAGAAGAAGCACCGGCUAACUCCGUGCCAGCAGCCGCGGUAAUACGGAGGGUGCAAGCGUUAAUCGGAAUUACUGGGCGUAAAGCGCACGCAGGCGGUUUGUUAAGUCAGAUGUGAAAUCCCCGGGCUCAACCUGGGAACUGCAUCUGAUACUGGCAAGCUUGAGUCUCGUAGAGGGGGGUAGAAUUCCAGGUGUAGCGGUGAAAUGCGUAGAGAUCUGGAGGAAUACCGGUGGCGAAGGCGGCCCCCUGGACGAAGACUGACGCUCAGGUGCGAAAGCGUGGGGAGCAAACAGGAUUAGAUACCCUGGUAGUCCACGCCGUAAACGAUGUCGACUUGGAGGUUGUGCCCUUGAGGCGUGGCUUCCGGAGCUAACGCGUUAAGUCGACCGCCUGGGGAGUACGGCCGCAAGGUUAAAACUCAAAUGAAUUGACGGGGGGCCGCACAAGCGGUGGAGCAUGUGGUUUAAUUCGAUGCAACGCGAAGAACCUUACCUGGUCUUGACAUCCACAGAACUUUCCAGAGAUGGAUUGGUGCCUUCGGGAACUGUGAGACAGGUGCUGCAUGGCUGUCGUCAGCUCGUGUUGUGAAAUGUUGGGUUAAGUCCCGCAACGAGCGCAACCCUUAUCCUUUGUUGCCAGCGGUCCGGCCGGGAACUCAAAGGAGACUGCCAGUGAUAAACUGGAGGAAGGUGGGGAUGACGUCAAGUCAUCAUGGCCCUUACGACCAGGGCUACACACGUGCUACAAUGGCGCAUACAAAGAGAAGCGACCUCGCGAGAGCAAGCGGACCUCAUAAAGUGCGUCGUAGUCCGGAUUGGAGUCUGCAACUCGACUCCAUGAAGUCGGAAUCGCUAGUAAUCGUGGAUCAGAAUGCCACGGUGAAUACGUUCCCGGGCCUUGUACACACCGCCCGUCACACCAUGGGAGUGGGUUGCAAAAGAAGUAGGUAGCUUAACCUUCGGGAGGGCGCUUACCACUUUGUGAUUCAUGACUGGGGUGAAGUCGUAACAAGGUAACCGUAGGGGAACCUGCGGUUGGAUCACC
rnacentral:rRNA from 1 species